GAUUCGAAAUUUAUAUUUCCUGCAGUAUGGGCUAACGCUGCAAGAUUUGAAACUUAUGCCCACAGCCGAGCACCAGGAUAAGACGGAACGUCGCUGGAGAGCGAUCGCCAGGCCGAUUUGGUAUUUUUUCAGUUAUGGAAAAUUAGGAAACCUAUUUUUCUCGUAAUUUUAGCCUUUUAUGUGGCUUUUUGUGCAUUUUCUCCAGUAUUAUUUGAAAUUUUUGUAUAUUGUUUUAGAUUCGAAACUUAUAUGCACAGCUGUGGUGAUGAAGCCAAGACAAGACGUCGCUGGAGACGGAUCUGGUAGGAAAAAUUAGACUCUUGCCUGGAAUGGAGAAUGAGAAAAACCUUACUAUUUCACCUCAACCUCCCAUACUAAUAUAUUGUUCUAUUGCAGCUAAGAGCCACCUUAAAGAAAAUAAAAACAGAUUUAUAAUUUAAUAAAGAUUAUUGAGUUAUUAUUUAUCCCUUACCCUUUUCCCUAAGGGCCCAAAGGAGGACCAUUGACUGACAGCUAACUGGCGCACAUGACAUAUCAGUACAUAACAAGAACCUUUUUUUUUGGUAAUUUUUACCUUUUUAUCGUUUUUUGUACAUUUUCCCUUGUAUUUAUUAUGAUUUUUGUGUUAUUGUUUCAUAUUUAAAAUUAAUAUGCACAGGAGUGAAGGGGAGAGGGGUUAGUUUAUACAACGCGUCGCUAGGGACGGAUCGCCAGGCAGGAUUGUAAUUUUUCAGUUGUGGAAAAUUAGAAUACUUAUGUUACUCGUGAUUUUAACUUUUUGUAUCGUUUUUUGUGCAUUUUCUCUAGUAUUAAUUAUAUAAUUUUCUUUUAUUCUUUCAGAUUCGAAAUUUACAUGCACAACGGAGUUCAAGCUGGAAACUGAUCGACCACGGAGAAUUAAACUCCUUUCUGGAGGGGAAAAUUGAUAUUUUUCAGUUGUGGGAAAAUGCGAAACUUAUUUUUCUCGUGAUUUUAACUUUAUUCGAAACAGUUGUGGCCAAACUAAGACCAGACGCUGGGGACGGAUCUGACAGCAAAACUGAGACUUUUUCUGGGACGGAAAAUUAAGAAAUAGUAUAUUGAAAGACAAGUGUUACAAUGCGACCUAUUGUAAUACGACUAUCUUGU